rnacentral:rRNA from 1 species
GCAUAUCAUAAGCGGAGGAAAAGGAAAUAACAAGGAUUCCCCUAGUAACUGCGAGUGAAGCGGGAAAAGCUCAAAUUUAAAAUCUGGCGGUCUUUGGCCGUCCGAGUUGUAGUCUGGAGAAGUGCUUUCCGCGCUGGACCGUGUAUAAGUCUCUUGGAACAGAGCGUCAUAGAGGGUGAGAAUCCCGUCUUUGACACGGACUACCAGUGCUUUGUGAUGCGCUCUCAAAGAGUCGAGUUGUUUGGGAAUGCAGCUCAAAAUGGGUGGUGAAUUCCAUCUAAAGCUAAAUAUUGGCGAGAGACCGAUAGCGAACAAGUACCGUGAGGGAAAGAUGAAAAGCACUUUGGAAAGAGAGUUAAACAGUACGUGAAAUUGCUGAAAGGGAAACGCUUGAAGUCAGUCGCGUUGUCCGGAACUCAGCCUUGCUUUCGCUUGGUGCACUUUCCGGAUGACGGGUCAGCAUCGAUUUUGACCGUCGGAAAAGGGCUGGAGUAAUGUGGCACCUCCGGGUGUGUUAUAGACUCUGGUCGCAUACGGCGGUUGGGAUCGAGGAACGCAGCGCGCCGCAAGGCAGGGGUUCGCCCACUUUCGCGCUUAGGAUGCUGGCAUAAUGGCUUUAAACGACCCGUCUUGAAACACGGACCAAGGAGUCUAACAUACCUGCGAGUGUUUGGGUGGAAAACCCGAGCGCGUAAUGAAAGUGAAAGUUGAGAUCCCUGUCGUGGGGAGCAUCGACGCCCGGACCUGACGUUCUCUGACGGAUCCGCGGUAGAGCAUGUAUGUUGGGACCCGAAAGAUGGUGAACUAUGCCUGAAUAGGGUGAAGCCAGAGGAAACUCUGGUGGAGGCUCGUAGCGAUUCUGACGUGCAAAUCGAUCGUCAAAUUUGGGUAUAGGGGCGAAAGACUAAUCGAACCAUCUAGUAGCUGGUUCCUGC